rnacentral:rRNA from 1 species
UACGUAGGGUGCGAGCGUUGUCCGGAAUUAUUGGGCGUAAAGAGCUCGUAGGCGGUUUGUCGCGUCGGCUGUGAAAACUCGGGGCUCAACCCCGAGCCUGCAGCCGAUACGGGCAGACUAGAGUUCGGCAGGGGAGACUGGAAUUCCUGGUGUAGCGGUGAAAUGCGCAGAUAUCAGGAGGAACACCGGUGGCGAAGGCGGGUCUCUGGGCCGAUACUGACGCUGAGGAGCGAAAGUGUGGGGAGCGAACAGG